AAACUAUUUCGAAAUUAUGUUUGUUAUUCUAGAGAUAGAUAUUAUGCCCGUGUCAACGCUAGAUAUACCGAAAUUUUCAACAAUAUUUUGUUUAAUAUAAUGUGCUAUAUAAACUCAAUAAACAAUUUACUGUCAUUUAUUACGUUCAGCUUGUUCGCUAUCAGAUGUGAAAAAAAGUAAUUAAUAGCUUAAUAUUGCUAGCAAAUAAGCUGUGAUACUGUUUUUUUUCUUCUUUGUGUACAUUGUGCGUCCUUAAUGAUCUAUCAGCGACAUGUCUGAUACCGUACUGUGUAAAUAGAGAAAUGAUUACAAUAGCAAUCUGUAAUGAAAUUCGUAUCACUAAUUACUAUCGAUCAAGUCCAUGAUUGAUUUGAAAAUAACAUUUCUCUCGAAAAAUAAGACUCCAGUGCUUUGUCGUCUGGGUUUUUAAGACAUGCUUCGGCCAUUAGUAUGAAUAAAUAAAUAAUGUAAGACAGUGUAGAUUAAUUUGGAAAAAGAUAAGCAUAAGAUAAGAUUACUGUUUAGAAUAAGAAUUCCGUUUAUUUGUGCACAUCGAGAGACAAAAACAGAUCCUAUAUCUAAUUGAAGUUCAUAAAUAGAAAUUCACUGAUUCACUUCAUUGUCUUAUGAUUUUUUAUUCGUGUAAUUGGAUGUUUACGUUCAGACACGUAAGUGGAUUUAAUCUUCAAGAAUUUAUUUAACCAGACAGUGUCUAAAAUUUCGUUCCAAUAAAUGGGAUUCCAUUCUACGUUUAUUAAAUAAACACUCAACUAACGUCUAAUAAACGAACACCUUAUGGAAAUAAUUUCAAUGUUAAAGCAAGUAUUUUGGUCGCAGUAAGAGAUGUUGGAGAACAAAGGAAUAGGAAAAGUGAAGCUUAAAGAUAAGAAAUUAGGAAGAAUUUAAAUAUAAGAAAUUCGAGGGCAAAGUGAGAACUUCAGGUUACAUGAACAUAUGGAGUCACAAUGUCAUGGAUUUAUCAAGAAGAGGAUCAAAGUUUUCAUAGAACAUCCAUGUCAAUCGUUGUUCAAAAGUCCACUUGAACGCAACUGAUCUGUUGCUAUAUAGUAUACCGACGAUAAACCGUCGUUUCCCCGAAGAAGCGUUUGAUUAUUCGAGAAGAUUGGCUGUACUCGUUGUCAUCGGCGACAAUGGAGAGUAAUUACAUUAUCACGGUGUUGUAUGAUCGACAUUCGAUGCAGUAAGUUAUAAAACGUAUAGUCAUCGGCUCGUGUCCCGCAGAAGCGAAGUCUUUUCCUUUAGGAAGACAGAUCGAUUCAAGACUGGUGGAGAUCGUUGCACCUGUUAUUCAGGGACGAAGAAACAAUCGACUGCAAAACUAUUUUUCAAGAUAACUAAUUAAGAUGGGACACGUGUUCUCGAUACGAAGAUCGUUGUUCUAUUCCAUACUUUUCAAAAUGUAAAACAUACGAUUCGCAACAUAGCCUCAUGGUCGAAAAAGUUGACGAUAUUACGCAGGUAACAGGACGCUCAGGCUCUGUUUACUUGAUAUUAUUAAAAAAAUUUUGGAACUUAUAUUAUCGUAAUAUGUUACAUUGUACGUAUUAUAAACUAUCGAUACAUGUAUAAAUUCCUUCGUAUGAUAAUAACAAGAUUUAUAAUGAAAUGAGCGAAGUCUUAAAAGUGAUCGUCACAAAUUACAGCCAAGGUAAUCGCCUUAUUUAACUUGUAAUUGUAAAUUGUAAAACUGUGAAAAGUAUUUGUAAAAUAGAAAUUUGUAGCCUGUAAUUUCUCAGUUGUCUCGAUUCAGUGAUAUCGUUAUUUGAUCAGUGAAUUAUUAUGCAAGAGGUAACUUCUCAGUUAUGUAAUUAUUACCAGUAUGUACGCAGAUAAACAGGAACGAUAUCCAGAGCGCAAUUGUAAAUCAAAUCGUUGAGAAGUUACGCUCAUUCAUGCAACAUUUAAGAUUUAGGAAGAGUUAUUUGGAUAUUGAUAUUCACAAUUAAACGAUGAAAUUUGCGCCAUAGUAAGUCUCUACUAUCUCCUGCCCAGUAAACAAAAAUUAAUUUGUAAUUGCUGAAAAUCAGGACUUUUCAAAGAAACAAUAGCAAACAGUUUCGAAUUGAUAUCGGUACGUCUUGGAAAGAGCACCAAGUCCUUAUCUCUGUAAAAGUGUCUCGACACAUGUUCUGACACUUAUAACGUGUAAAUUUCACUCCUAACCGAUUUUACCUCCUCGUUAUAUCAUUUCCGCCAAUCUUGUUUGUUCGGAAUCUCGAAACGACUAAACUUUAUCUCUUCUCUAAUUCCACAACCAUGCUAUCUCUUUUGCACCUAUGUAACAUAAUCGUCGAUUUCUUUCUCGCUUCUCCGUUGCUUUCCGCUUUCCGUUUUCUUCUCUUUUCUUUUUUCUUCUUAUUUAUUUUCACUUUUCACAUUGGAGGAUUAUUAUUUUUGACAAAAAUGCGUGUACCGGACUAAUUCUUGACUAAACAUUCGAACCACCCAAUGUAAUUUUGUUAUUCUUGAUUUUCGUCUUACUUCAACGGCUUCAUUUCUCUCAUUUAGGCUCACGGUAUAUAUCUUCGUGUAUUAUUUAUCAUUACAUACCUACAGUUAGAAACGUAUAGCGCGGGAGAUACGAAUUUUCUUCAGCUUCGGAACUUGCAUGUUCUUUACGCGCAAAUCGUCCCUUUGGUAUUAUUUCCUUAGGAAGCGUUUCACUUUCCUCGUUAUUUCCCAAAUCCCAGGAAUCGUACGAAAGCAACGAAGCAAUCUUUCGAUGAUGAACACGUAAUUUCAUUUACUGUACCUACUGUCUCUUGAAAUUAUAUUUUCUCUGUAUAUUUAAUCCAAAAUCUCAAUUACAUAGCCAUUGAUUUGUUACGUUACGGCGAUAAAAAGGGAUCAAUGAGAACGUAAAAGAAGAAAUUGCUGUCCGUUCGGAGUCGGUAUCCCGACGCUUUAUCUUGCCGCGUGGCUAAUCGAAUAAAAAUUAAAGGCGUCGGUGUCGUUGGAAAGAGCGCGCUGGUGCCAGGUGAAACGCGCUGCUGGCCUAGGCAUCGAAGUCGAUUCGAUUUCUCGAGGAGAGCUGUGCCCAGCUGUGGGCGCGGCGGAUAUCCCGCUGUGUUUCUCCAACAUGGCCGACACCUUAUGCACACCCACGCUCUGGUUCUCUUUUUCAUCGCGUCCUCCAUUUCUUUCUCGUUCCUCCGGAGCAUCAAAUUACACGCUCGGUGAAGUAAUUUUCGAUGGCGCGUUCGUGAUCGAGCGUGAUGCAGAAACAUAUCCGUUAUCCUGCGGUUCCGAUGCGCCGUGUUAAAAUUUGCGAUCACCGAUAACGAUGGCCAAAGAUUAAUGGCUACGAGCCAACCGGCUCUGUCUUUACCCCGUGUAUUAACCAUCAAAUGAUUCCUCCGAUUGAUCCAUAUGAAAUUAUGCGUAUACACGAGCUAAAUAAAUAAAUUCUAUCGGGACCGUGAUCUGUUGCAGGAAGAACGAUCGAGCGUGUAAAACGGUGGAAUGAUUAAUCAUAUGUUUCUUGUUAGCUUGGAAAAAUUAUCGGAUUACCCACGUGUAUGUAAAUAAGAAUUAUUGGAUUGAUUUUAUAGUUGAGAAUUGUCUGUAACAAUUUCAAAUUAUAUUUGGAAUUAAUUCGUGAUGAAUGUACGAUCGAUCGCUUAGCGACUAUAAUGAUAAGAAACUUUCAAGUACGUACAAGUAAUACUGAACUAAAACCAAUUCGGUAUUUCUUGUGAUCGAAGAAAUAAUUUUUCAAACUAACGAGAAAUAUGUGAUAUUAUUGAUAAUCGUCUACACGUCCAUCGUUUUACACGCUUAAUCGUUUCUCCUGCAUCGUAAGGUAAUUGCGAUAGUGAAGCUUUAGAUAUUUCCUCUUUUUUUAACAAAUUUAUCUGAUUAAGGACGUAGCGACCGUUCUAAAAAUACAGUUCUGCAAGAAUAAACUGGUAAAAUAUCGAUGAAAGUUAGAUGUGAAAUAGAAUUAGUAAUUCGUAUUAUUUGAUAUUAGAUAUAGAUAUUAGAUUCGUAUUAGAUAUAAAUUUAUGAAGCGAAUUAAUGUUUAAGCAUUCUAUUAAAGACGACAUGUAUUUCUAUUUAACUGUAUCUGUAUUUCAUAUCGAUGUAUAUAUACAAGUAAAACUAUUUAUUCAAAGUUUA